rnacentral:rRNA from 1 species
GACGAACGCUGGCGGCGUGCCUAAUACAUGCAAGUCGAACGCUUCUUUCCUCCCGAGUGCUUGCACUCAAUUGGAAAGAGGAGUGGCGGACGGGUGAGUAACACGUGGGUAACCUACCCAUCAGAGGGGGAUAACACUUGGAAACAGGUGCCAAUACCGCAUAACAGUUUAUGCCGCAUGGCAUAAGAGUGAAAGGCGCUUUCGGGUGUCGCUGAUGGAUGGACCCGCGGUGCAUUAGCUAGUUGGUGAGGUAACGGCUCACCAAGGCCACGAUGCAUAGCCGACCUGAGAGGGUGAUCGGCCACACUGGGACUGAGACACGGCCCAGACUCCUACGGGAGGCAGCAGUAGGGAAUCUUCGGCAAUGGACGAAAGUCUGACCGAGCAACGCCGCGUGAGUGAAGAAGGUUUUCGGAUCGUAAAACUCUGUUGUUAGAGAAGAACAAGGACGUUAGUAACUGAACGUCCCCUGACGGUAUCUAACCAGAAAGCCACGGCUAACUACGUG